CCUGGUUGAUCCUGCCAAUAGUCAUAUGCUUGUCUCAAAGAUUAAGCCAUGCAUGUCUAAGUACAUGCUGUAUUAAGGUGAAACUGUGAAUGGCUCAUUAAAUCAGUUAUGGUUCUUUGGAUCGUACCUUACUACUUGGAUAACUGUGGCAAUUCUAGAGCUAAUAGAUGCAGCAUAGUUUCGACCCUCUGGGGACGAGCGCUUUUAUUAGACCAAAAUCGGACCUUGUAUCCAUAUUAUGUGCCGACUCUGUAUAACUUUGGGCUGAUUGCACGGGCUCAUCCCAGUGAUAUAUCUUUCAAGUGUCUGCCUUAUCAACUGUUGAUGGUAGGUUACAUGCCUACCAUGGUCAUAACGGAUGAUGGAGAAUCAGGGUUCGAUUCCAGAGAGGGAGCCUGAGAAGUAGCUACCAUAUCCAAGGAAGACAGCAGGCGUGCAAAUUACCCACUCCCAGAAUGGGGAGAUAGUGAUGAAAAAUAAUAAUAUGGGACUCUUGAAACCACGUAAUUGGAAUGAGUACACUCUAAAUCCUUUAACGAGGAUCAAUUGGAGGAGAAGUCUGGUGCCAGCAGCCGUUGUAAUUCCAGCUCCAAUAGUGUAUAUUAAAGUUGUUGUGGUUAAAAAGGCUUGCAGUUGGAUCUCAGUUCCAGGUGGGUGGUUUGCCUACUGAUGGUUACUUCCUGUUCUGAACAUUUAUUGAAUUUUAUUUAAGAACAAAAUAGCUUGUGAUUUAAUGUAGAAGUUUUAAAAAGACAGCAUGUGAAUUACAACAUUAUAUUUUUGUAAAAUAUCAUUGAUGUGAUUGAAGUUAUGGUAUUGUAAAAUAUGGUUUUUAAAUUUGUUUUUACAACUUUUUAAGAUGCAAACAUCAGCUUAUAACCAUAGGAAGAAUACAAAGCAAAGUGAAAUAUUUUAAAAAUAAUAAUACGUAUUUUACGGCAUUAGGUGUUUUAAAGAAAUACAUAUGUUUAAAAAUACAUAUUUAUUAAUUAGAAAACUCCUCUGGAAUUACACAACUAUGAGACAGUGUCAAACUACUAUAAGACGUAAAGUAAAUGUAUUAAAAUGAAAUGCAGAAGUAUUUAUAGUCUGAGUAAAAUAAUUUAUUAAAUGUGAAUUAAUAACAUUGUCUCAAGUAUUAAAGAAAGCCAUGGUUUCAUAAUUCUGAAUUUAAAAUUAAAUGCAUG
rnacentral:rRNA from 1 species